rnacentral:rRNA from 1 species
AGUGAACGCUGGCGGUAGGCCUAACACAUGCAAGUCGAACGGCAGCACAGUAAGAGCUUGCUCUUACGGGUGGCGAGUGGCGGACGGGUGAGGAAUACAUCGGAAUCUACUUUUUCGUGGGGGAUAACGUAGGGAAACUUACGCUAAUACCGCAUACGACCUACGGGUGAAAGCAGGGGAUCUUCGGACCUUGCGCGAUUGAAUGAGCCGAUGUCGGAUUAGCUAGUUGGCGGGGGAAAGGCCCACCAAGGCGACGAUCCGUAGCUGGUCUGAGAGGAUGAUCGGCCACAAUGGAACGGAGACACGGUCAAGACUCCUACGGGAGGCAGCAGUGGGGAAUAUUGGACAAUGGGCGCAAGCCUUAUCCAGCCAUACCGCGUGGGUGAAGAAGGCCUUCGGGUUGUAAAGCCCUUUUGUUGGGAAAGAAAAGCAGCAGGUUAAUACCCCGCUGUUCUGACGGUACCCAAAGAAUAAGCACCGGCUAACUUCGUG